UAAUACGAAGGUCCCAAGCGUUGCUCGGAAUCAUUGGGCGUAAAGCGGGUGCGGGUGGCUUUGUAAGUCAAGAGUGAAAGCCCAGGGCUCAACCCUGGAAGUGCUUUUGAAACUGCAAAGCUUGAGUGUGAGAGAGGAUACUGGAAUUCCUGGUGUAGUGGUGAAAUACGUAGAGAUCAGGAGGAACCCCGGUGGCGAAGGCGGGUAUCUGGCUCAACACUGACACUUAGACCCGAAAGCGUGGGGAUCAAACAGG
rnacentral:rRNA from 1 species